CAUUUUCAAUGAAGGGGAGAAAAGAAAAAGGGCAGAUUUCUCAAUCCAGUCUCAUGCCAGGAUCAAAUGCAUUCACAGUGAAUCCUCCAUCAACAGAAAUAAUCUGUCCAGUAAUGUAUGAAGCAGCAGGUAAGCAGAGGAAUGCAACCAGGGAUGAUACUUCUUUUGGUUCUCCAACGCGUUGAAGAGGCGUUCGAGCGACUAUUUUAUCCGAGAAAUCUUUGUUAGCAAGCAACUGCAAGGAGAAAAGAAAUUCACAUGAUAAGAAGAGGAGCUGUUACAAGUACCAUUGAUGAAUUUUAAUAGUGAUUUCUUCUCAGAUUCCAGUUAAUAUGCAGCAUUUUAGAGGUGACAGACAUAAUAAUCCACUCAUCUAUGCACAAGGAGAACUUUGUGAAAGGAAGUGCUAGGUUUGAAAUUUGCCGAGACUCUAGCUGUUUGGCCGAACAACAUUAUAGUCAAGAUUAAUGGUGAUCUUGGAAACAAACUUUUAAGGACACAUGUCAGUAACAGAUUACAGGAGUAGCAUUGCAAUUUGAUUGAACUGUUUCAGGGUCAAGGGAACAGAAACCUUUCAAAAUAAUGAAUAAUAUCAUAUAUCAUGCUUAUAAUGCAGGCAUAUACGCAUCUUUUAUAGUUUAACAUGUCUGUGAAAAAAUGUCCCUUGAGAUCCAACAAGAAUCCAGAAAUCCACUUCAUGUUUACAGCUUUUCCAUGUUCAAAACAGUUCUAAGAGCAAAUCCCAAGAAAGCUGAAUGAUUGAUUCAACUAACUGUAUAAUGAAUUAUUGGCUGCUUUAAAGAAAUAAUACCUUCACUCAUAAAUGAGAAUGGAAUGCUGAUAUUUUAAAAUGGAUGAUCAUUUGCCAGAAAAAAGGGAAAAAAAGGAAUGUUCUAUGAGCAGGAUAGAGAAUAGUACAUUUUCCACAUGCGAGGUUCUGAUAUACCAGGGUGCAACAGAAUUUGUCCUGAUAUUGUCUUUUGCCCACUCACAAGCCAAAUUUUUUGUAAGUUGAUUGAUUGCACCUGCGAGCAGCAAAUUUGAUAAUGUUUUUUAGUAGAUUAAUUACACUCAAAUUUUUUACUCAUGCUCAGGCAAUAAAUAUACUAGUUUAGAACAGCAACUCACCUUUACUUGGACCAUAAAUUGAUCCAUUACCUAUGUGCACAAGACCUGCAACAGAGGAAUUGAAUACAAUGCUUCCAGCUCCUGAUGCUUUUAGAAGAGGAUGUGCAAGUUGGCACAUAUGGUAUGCAGAUUCAAAAUUAGUUGCCAUGAGUUUUGAAAAUUCUUCAGCAGAGUACUCCAUAGUUGGCUUCCUGAUAUUUGUGCCAACAUUAUUUACCUGAAUGAAAGAGAUCAAGCAUGUUAAACUCCCUGAAUAUCCAUAGAUAAGAAUAACACUCAUUAAGUGAUGCUCAUCCUAAUAAGCGCACGACAUUACCUACUCCUUACAAAAUUCUAAAGAUAUUCAAGAUUACAUCUAAAGAACACAUGCACAUGUGCAUGCAGAGAUAUGAUAUGAGAUCAAUUGCCUUCAUUGAAAAGCCAACGUUGCACCAUUCCUGACAUAAAAGUGCCCGGAAUAUUGUUGCAUUGUGACACAAUUACGGGCUUAAGCAUCAUUCUUUCAUUAGAACACAAGUAACCGUUCUUUGAAGCCAAGCAAAAUGAUCCUCAAUCUCUUGAGAAGAGUUUCCUGUUAGCGUAAAGUGCAGAAUAAUGAUUCAAGUAAGUGAAUUGAUGCUAAUCUUUCCUGGAGAAAUUUACACGAAGACGAAAAAAACAAUCAUCUUAGAUUUCUCAAUUUAUGUUCCUCAUAAGACUGGAACCUAGGGCAAGAAAAAGUAGAAAUAUAUUAAAAAAAUUUUAGCAUAGUUGUACUUAAUAAAUCUUGUUUUUGAUAUAAUUUCAAUCCACUGGGUAAACGGAAGGGGGGAUUUUUUUCUUUUCCCCUGCAUUUUAACUUCAUCAUGGAAGUCUGAAAAAAUAGUUUGAGAAAUACCAGCAAUAGAAGCAAGCAUUUCAUAAUAUAGAACAAUUUUAUUAUUCAAUUUGAAGAUCUAACACCAUUUGCGGGUUGAGAGAUUUUGACAAUCUUGAUCAAACCCCAGCAAAACAAAUCAAUUCAAGAAGAAACCCAAGUUUAAAGUGGAACCAGGGAGAUUAUACCUAAACAAGCAGCAUAAACAAUCUAAUUUGCAAUUGCAUAAGUUAGCUCAUGUAUAUAUAUCGGUAUGCAAGUAUUGCAAUCAAGGUUGGAGACACAGUAAGCAAAACAACAACAUCAUUGCUGAGGAAACAUACAAAAUCAUGAUAUGUAAGAAUACUGAUAAUAUCCAAUAGCUGAGGCUGUCACUGGAUUACUCACAAGAAUGUUGAGACUGCCAUUAAAAACAGAACCCACUUGCUCAAUUAGCUUCUCUCUCUGGGCUCGAGAUGUCGCAUCACAAACUGACCCAGUGACCACAAAACCCUUGGCUUCCCAUUCUUUCAAACACUUAUUAAGCUCUGCUUCAUUUCUUGAACAUGUGUGCACUCUAGCUCCAAGCCCAGCAAGCUCCUCCACCGUUGCAUUUCUAUAAAACCCCACAAUCAGAGAUUUAAAAAAGCAGUGAUUUCAUUAUAAAUUGUCCACAUAAAGAAAAGGGAUAGAGAGAGAGAAACCCAAUUCCCCGAGUGCCACCAGUGACAAGAGCAGUCAUUCCAUGAAGAGACCAUCUUGGCUCCUUGAAACUGCUCUCUGCCUUUGACAUGAUUCUGUUCUGUGUGUUGCCGAGAAGAUGCAAACUGAAGGAUUCUGUUCUGUGUGUUGCCAAGAAGAUGCAAACUGAAGACUGAAGAUACUUUCCGAAAUUGGAAACCUGUCAAUUACGGAAAAUGGAAAAUAUUUUUCUUCCUCAAACGUAAAAUACAGUAAUUUUUGUUACUUUCAGUAAAGGAUGUCAUUUGAAAAUUUAUUAUUAUCUAUUUUACAGAAAAUUUUGUUUUCAUAAUUUUAAUAAAUUUAUUCAUUAAUUUAUUCAUUAAUAUAAAAAUAUUUUAUUUUCUCUAUUUUUAAGUGAAAAAAUAAACUAAAAAAAUAUAUUUUUUUCUCAAAUUCUAAAUAAAUAAUUGUACAGAACAUAAAAUUCUCCAUUUUCUCGACAUGACAGUUCAAUGAAAUAAAUCUAAUGGCUGAUGUGAUGCCGUGUCCCCUCUCUUGAAUUAUUAUUUUAAUAGUUACUACGUCACUUUGAUGUUAAAAAAUUCAAUAGUCGAUUUUUAUAUAUUUUUAAAAUUUAAAUUAUUUUCAUAUUUAUCAAAAAAAUGUUAGAUGUCAUUUUAAUUAUAUAUAUUAUUUAUUUAAUAUAAUUUUAAAUAUUUACAAUUUUAUACCAUUUAGUUUUUUUAUAAAAAUUAAAAUAAAUUGACUAAAUAUUUUUCUAAUAGAAAGAAUAAUAAUUUAAUUUUUUUAUAAAUAUAGAGUGAGUGAUUUUGAAAUAAAAAUAAAUUAAUAAUUUUUUUAAAAAUUUAAAAACUUAUUAAUAACUUUUCUAAUAAAUAAUUAAAUACAGCAUAAAAUUCUCCAUUACCUUGAAACGACAUUCACUAAAAUAAAUCUAAUUUUUAAUGUAAUGAGACGCUUCUCUUUUAAAUUAUUAUUUUAGUUAUAAUUAAUGAGUUUUAGUUUAUUAAUAUUAAAGUCUUUUCAAAAUUAAAAGAUUUUAAAUUUAAAUUCUAAUUAAGAUUAAUUAUAUUAAAAAAAUUAUUUUGAUUAUAUUUAUAUAUGUUUGACGAAUUUAAUACUGAUUAUGUGAACAUAUUUAACGCUAUGAAGUUGGUUGUGAAGUAGGGUUGUAGAUAAUAAUUCGAGAUUUAAAAGGUUUAAAUUUAAUUUAUUUUUUAAAUUGGAUUCGAAUUUAAAUUUUAGUCAAAUAUUAAUAAAAUUAAGUUUAAUUCAUUUAAUUUGUAAAUUUCAGUAAAAUAUUAAUAAUAUUAAAUUUAACUCGUUUAAUUUUUAAAUUUCAGUUGAGUAUUAAUAAAAUUAAAUUUAACUCAUUUAAUAAAUUAAUUUAGACGAGUUAAACUUUUUAUUGAAUUUAAUUUUAAAUAGUUUACAUAUAAUUUAAUUUAUUUAUAUAUAUAAUAAGUUUUAUUUAAAAUUAAUAAAUUUAAAAUUAAAUAAUUUUAAUUAAAUAAAUAUAUAUAUAAAAAUUAGCUCAUAAAUUUAUAAAAAUAAAUUAUUAAAUUUUAAUCAUUUAAAUAUAUAUAAAUUUUAAAAGUGUAAUUAAAUUAUAUAAAAUUAAACUAUAAAAAAUUUAAGUGAAAAUAUAUGUAAGCCUUGAAUUUAUUUCUCUUAUAAUAUUAACAUCAAUAUGCUUAAUCAGACUGUUUAUUCAUAAACUCAAAAAUAAACUGAGUUUACAAAAUUUCGACUCGAAAUUUUACAAGUCGAAUACUUAUACAACUCAAAUUUGACUGGUUUACUAAACGAAUUUAAAAAUUAAAUUCGAGUUUGAUUUAUUUAAAAAUCGAAUCGAAUAGCUCAUAAGUUUAAUUAGUGAUUUUUCUUCUAUUCAUCUACAUGUUUUGAGAAAAAAUAAGAAAUGUUAUUUUAUACUUAUUUAAUAAAUUAAGAAUCGUAACUUUUACUAUUUAAACAUUAAUUAUAAUAUCUAUUUUAACAGAGUUAAAAGUGAAUUAUUAACUCAAUUAAUUAAAAAUAACAAAAUUAAAAAUGAUAAAAUAAAUUUAAUUUAUGAGUAUAUUUUGUAUAUUAUGUAAUGAAUCUAUCCAUUUUAGAUUUAUUAAAUAAAUUAUUAACUUUUAAUUUAGUUAAAAUGAAUAUAAUAAAUAUAAUUAAUUUUUUAAAGUAAAAAAAUUAUAAUUUUUAAAUUACUAGAAUUAAUGUUAUCACACUAUUUAUGAUUUAUAAUUACAUAAAAAAUUACUUAUAAGUUAUAAUUAUACAAAAAAUUAUUUAUGAUAUAUAACUACGACAAAAAAUUAUUGUUGAUGUAAAAAUAUUAAAAAAUAAAUUAUCAAAUUUUAAAAAUAUAUUGUUUAAAAUUAUAAAUAAAUUAAAUCAAAAUUAAAAAUUAAAUAAAAUUGAAAUACUGAUUUAAGGUAUAUUUAUUAAAAAAAAUUAUAAUAUAAUUAUUGUAAUUGAUAAAAUUUUAAAUUUUUUAAUAAUUAUUAAUUAUAUUAAAAUAUUAAUUUUUUACUUACUAUUAACCGGUAAAAUAUAAAUAAAUUUAUAUAAUUAGUUAAGAAUAUAUUAAUUAAUUUUUAUAAUUUAAAAUAUAUUUAAUAAAAUAUAAAUAGUUUAGAAUUUUUUAUUAUUAUCUCAUAAUUUAUUAAUAUAUAUUUAAAUUUAUAUUAACAUAAAAAUUUAUAAUUAAUAAAUAUUAAAAAAAUAAUACAGUGAAAGUAAAAAAUCUCAUUGAUUAUGAGCCGACAAAAAGAAAUUUUAAAAAGUAGAAUUAAUAAAAAAUACUAACUGAUAUAAACAUCUAAAUUGACUGUUUGAAACUGAUAAGCUAUCGACCGAAAAUGAAAAAGUUUAUUCAAACACCUUCUAAGGACUAAUUUCUGUUAUCACGAAGAAUCCAUAUGGGACCUCAACUAACAUAUCAAAGGUUUUUAACCAAUUAAUGACUUCCACGCCCUUUUAAAAUAACUUAUUUAUUGAAAAGUUAAUUUUUUCAAAAAUACACUUUCUACAAGUUAUUUUUUAACAAAUAUGAUUUAGAUGUGUUCGAUUAAUAUAUUCUCAUGAGAUAAGGUGUGUUUAUUGCGUUAGAUAAAUAUAGUAAUAUUUAUUUUCCAUUUGCUAUUAUAAAAUUUUAAUUUUAAAUUUUUUUCUUAUUAGAUAUUAUUGAAUAUUAUUAUUUAAAAUCUCAAAUUAUUUUUUUAAAAAAAUAUUUAGAUCUUAAACUUAUUUUAAUAAUUAUUUGUAGAAAUGUAUAAAAUGUUAUAGUAAAAAAAAUUAUUAAUUUUAUAAUAUUUAUUAAAUAAUAUGCCCAUUAAACAUCAACCAUGGUUCAAGAUUGAACCUAAAACCCUUAAUUGGGUUUAAUUCUAUGAUCUCGCCGGUUCAAGGUUCGGUUUAAAAACAUUGCUUCAAACAAAACACCAUGUCCUCAGAACUAAAUAUGAACAAUAUGUUAUGAACCAGAACAAUUCAAGACAUUGGACAAAUGUGCAUUUUCAACGAAGGGGAGAAAAGAAAAAGGGCAGAUUGCUCAAUCCAGUCUCAUGCCAGGAUCAAAUGCAUUCACAGUGACUCCUCCAUCAACAGAAAUAAUCUGUCCAGUAAUGUAUGAAGCAGCAGGUAGGCAGAGGAAUGCAACCAGGGAUGAUACUUCUUUUGCUUCUCCAACGCGUUGAAGAGGCGUUCGAGCAACUAUUUUAUCCAAGAACUCUUUGUUAGCAAGCAACUGCAAGAAGAAAAAAGUUCACAUGGUAAGAAGAGGAGCUGUUACAAGUACCAUUGAUGAAUUUUAGUAUUGAUUUCUUCUCAGUUUCAGUUAAUAUGCAGCAUUUUAGAGAUUCCAGACAUAAUAACCCACACUUCUAUGCACAAGGAGAAUUUGGUGAGAGAGUGCUAGGCUUGAAACUCGCCGAGACUCCAGCCGUUUGGCGGAACGACAUUAUAGUGAAGACUAAUGGAGACCUUGGAACAAAAACUUCUAAGUACACAUGUCCAUAAACAGAUUACAGCAGUAUCAUUGCAAUUUGAUUGAACUGUUAUAGGGUCGAGGGCACAGAAAACUUUCAAAAUAAUGAAUAAUAUCAUAUAUCAUGCUUAUAAUGCAGGCAUAUACACAUCUUUUAUAGUAUAACAUGUCUCCUGAAAAAAUAUCCCUCGAGAUCCAACAAGAAUCCAGAAAUCCACUUGAUGUCUAUAGCUUUUCCAUGUUUAAAACAGUUCUAAGAACAAAUCCCAACAAAGCUUAAUGAUUGAUUCAACUAACUGUAUAAUUAAGUAUCAGCCACUUUAAAGAAAUAAUACAUUUACUCGUAAAUGAGAAUGACAUGCCUAUAUUUUUAAACGAAGGAUUAUUUGCCAAACAAAAAGGAAAAAA
rnacentral:lncRNA from 1 species